rnacentral:rRNA from 1 species
CAGUCGCCACGGUAAUACGAAGGGUGCAAGCGUUAAUCGGAAUUACUGGGCGUAAAGCGUGCGUAGGCGGUUUGUUAAGUCUGCUGUGAAAUCCCUGGGCUCAACCUGGGACGUGCAGUGGAAACUGGCAAGCUAGAGUGUGAUAGAGGAUGGUGGAAUUCCCGGUGUAGCGGUGAAAUGCGUAGAGAUCGGGAAGAACAUCAGUGGCGAAGGCGGCCAUCUGGAUCAACACUGACGCUGAGGCACGAAAGCGUGGGGAGCAAACAGGAUUAGAUACCCGUGUAGUCCCUGUCUCUUAUAC